CAAAGGAUGGGCCUGCGUCUGAUUAGCUAGUUGGUGAGGUAACGGCUCACCAAGGCAACGAUCAGUAGCCGACCUGAGAGGGUAAUCGGCCACAUUGGAACUGAGACACGGUCCAAACUCCUACGGGAGGCAGCAGUGGGGAAUAUUGCACAAUGGGGGAAACCCUGAUGCAGCAACGCCGCGUGAAGGAAGAAGGCCUUUGGGUCGUAAACUUCUGUCCUAAGGGAAGAUAAUGACGGUACCUUUGGAGGAAGCCCCGGCUAACUACGUGCCAGCAGCCGCGGUAAUACGUAGGGGGCGAGCGUUAUCCGGAAUUAUUGGGCGUAAAGAGUUCGUAGGCGGUUUUUUAAGCGCGGGGUGAAAGGCAAUGGCUUAACCAUUGUUAGCCCUGCGAACUGGGAGACUUGAGUGCAGGAGAGGAAAGCGGAAUUCCUAGUGUAGCGGUGAAAUGCGUAGAUAUUAGGAGGAACACCAGUGGCGAAGGCGGCUUUCUGGACUGUAACUGACGCUGAGGAACGAAAGUGUGGGGAGCAAACAGGAUUAGAUACCCUGGUAGUCCACACCGUAAACGAUGAGCACUAGGUGUCGGGGGUCGCAAGACUUCGGUGCCGGAGUUAACGCAUUAAGUGCUCC
rnacentral:rRNA from 1 species